rfam:Pantoea sp. AS1 85__len__269, whole genome shotgun sequence.
CCUGGCGGCACUAGCGCGGCGGUCCCACCUGACCCCAUGCCGAACUCAGAAGUGAAACGCCGUAGCGCCGAUGGUAGUGUGGGGUCU